rnacentral:sRNA from 1 species
UGGAUCGUCUCGCUGAGUCUCCGUAUGGAGAACGGGGGAACCAAUAUUGUCAUGCCGUACUGUAUCACCGUACAUAGAGUACACAAGAAGCAUGCCGCAGACAAUAUUUGAUUUCUUUUCGUGGUCUUUGGGGUGAAUUUAAGGGCAACCGCCGUGAGCGGGUGACCUGAAAUAGGGCGUCUCUCUUUCGCCCGAACCCGACAGCUAACCCCGUAAGCGCAAGUAAGAGAGGAA